GCACGGGGGGAACGCGAAGAACCUUACCUGGUCUUGACAUAGUGAGAAUCUUUCAGAGAUGAGAGAGUGCCUUCGGGAAUUCACAUACAGGUGCUGCAUGGCUGUCGUCAGCUCGUGUCGUGAGAUGUUGGGUUAAGUCCCGCAACGAGCGCAACCCUUUUCCUUAUUUGCCAGCGGGUUAAGCCGGGAACUUUAAGGAUACUGCCAGUGACAAACUGGAGGAAGGCGGGGACGACGUCAAGUCAUCAUGGCCCUUACGACCAGGGCUACACACGUGCUACAAUGGUAGGUACAGAGGGUUGCUACACAGCGAUGUGAUGCUAAUCUCAAAAAGCCUAUCGUAGUCCGGAUUGGAGUCUGCAACUCGACUCCAUGAAGUCGGAAUCGCUA
rnacentral:rRNA from 1 species